CUCUUAUCAAGAGCAGGCAGAGGGAUAUUGGCCCUAUGACGCCCAGCAACCGACCGUAAUACCUUCGUGAGAAGGGGCGCUUUCGCGCCGGAAUGCAAAAUUCCGCAAGGCACGGUGCUAAUUCCAUCAGAAACUAACAUUUCUGAAAGAUAAGAG
rnacentral:ncRNA from 2 species